rnacentral:misc_RNA from 1 species
GCAUCCUCAGGUUUUGGCGGUCUCGUUGUUCCUCCUUUAUAUCGCUUUCUUCUGGACGUUUACGGUCUUCGCGGUACCAUGCUCAUCUUUUCAGGAAUUAUAUUCAAUGUGGUGGCUCUAGCAGGACUGCUGCUAAAGCCUCUGUCUCUUUUUCACCAUCCCUCUAACAGCAACGAGAAAUCCAAACCGGAAUUUUCCAAUGUUGAAAUUCCUGACACUCACGGGUAUUUACCAGUACCGACGGGCAAAAAGCGCUCAAUAUCUCUGAGUGAAAAACCAACACCUGGAAAUGGCAUCUUAUCCAGUUUUGAAAAGGAUAAAACAUGGGGGAGUUUGCCACAUCGACUGGAUAUUAAAGCGCAUCACAGCUCUCGUCUCUCAGAGAGUUUCCGGAGUUUAGGAAGUACAGAUGCUGUACACAGCUUUUCCCAAUCCCAAUUAAAUGAAUCGCAAGCACAAAAAGAUGUUCAGCACAAAAUUAUAGAUAUUUCUCUCCUUAAAAAGCCAUUGCUACAGAUGUAUCUUUUUGUGUACUUAUUUGGAAGUAUAGGAUCUUCAUAUGGUCAUAUUUAUAUUUCUCCAUUUGCUCGUGACCAUGGAAUGACUACAACAGAAGUAUCGAUAUUGGUAUCUGUUACCAAUAUGUGUGAUUUCAUUGGUCGAGGUUUAUGUGGAGUAAUAGCCAAUCAGCGAAUAGUUAAGAACUCCACGAUUGUGGCUAUUAGCCAGCUUGUGACUGGUGCCACCUUGGCGCUCUGCUCUUUUUAUGGGUCCUUCUGGAGCUUCAUUGUCCUAGCUGUUAUGUUUGGUCUUUUUGCCGGCGCCAUUUUCUCUAUGACGCCAAGUAUUGUAGUGGACUUCGUAGGAAUAGAAAAUUUCAGAACAGCUUUUGGGAUUAUUAUCCUGGGACAAGGGAUAACUAUGGGAACGGGAGCUCCACUAUUAGGUUACCUCCGGGACGUAUCCCUCUCCUAUAUACCAUCUUUUUACUUCAUGGGGGCGUGUCUGAUUCUGUCUGGGCUGACCUUACUGAUGGAACCGUGUGUCAGAAAACGUCAGGACAAAAUGGAGAAUGUAACUCGACCGUCAGAAGAGGUGGCGCUUUCCACGUGAUUUAUGACGAAUUUUAAAUUUGAAAAAAUAAUUUUUUUGCUUCAUUAAAAUGUGAAUAUCUGAAUAAAAAAUACAAACAUG